UACGUAGGGACCAAGCGUUGUUCGGAUUUACUGGGCGUAAAGGGCGCGUAGGCGGCUUAACAAGUCACUUGUGAAAUCUCCGGGCUUAACUCGGAACGGUCAAGUGAUACUGUCGGACUAGAGUACAGAAGGGGCAACUGGAAUUCUCGGUGUAGAGGUGAAAUUCGUAGAUAUUCGGAAGAACACCAGUGGCGAAGGCGACUUACUGGACACAUAUUGACGCUGAGGUGCGAAAGCGUGGGGAGCAAACAGG
rnacentral:rRNA from 1 species